GUAAUACCGGAUAAGCCCUUCGGGGGAAAGAUUUAUCGCCAAUGGAUGGGCCCGCGUCGGAUUAGCUAGUUGGUGGGGUAACGGCCUACCAAGGCGACGAUCCGUAGCUGGUCUGAGAGGAUGAUCAGCCACACUGGGACUGAGACACGGCCCAGACUCCUACGGGAGGCAGCAGUGGGGAAUAUUGGACAAUGGGGGCAACCCUGAUCCAGCCAUGCCGCGUGAGUGACGAAGGUCUUCGGAUUGUAAAGCUCUUUUGGCGGGGAAGAUAAUGACGGUACCCGCAGAAUAAGCCCCGGCUAACUUCGUGCCAGCAGCCGCGGUAAUACGAAGGGGGCUAGCGUUGUUCGGAAUCACUGGGCGUAAAGCGCACGUAGGCGGAUGUGUCAGUCAGGGGUGAAAUCCCGGAGCUCAACUUCGGAACUGCCUCUGAUACAGCACGUCUUGAGUCCGGAAGAGGUGGGUGGAAUUCCUAGUGUAGAGGUGAAAUUCGUAGAUAUUAGGAAGAACACCGGUGGCGAAGGCGGCCCACUGGUCCGGUACUGACGCUGAGGUGCGAAAGCGUGGGGAGCAAACA
rnacentral:rRNA from 1 species